rnacentral:misc_RNA from 1 species
AUUCAAGAUUUGACGCAUGGAAACAAUGAAAGUUUGAUCAUGUGACUACGUAUAGGAAACCAAAUUGGAAAAGGGUUACAAUGGUUUACAAUAAUGGAUGAUUGUUAUAUGUUACUUGAGAAAAGUAACGGUAUAUUCGAGCUUUCACGUCGAACGCCAUCGAAUUUGUGAGUCUGGUUUCACGUUUUACGGGAGAGGCACGUCGUUGGAUAUAGGGACGAGCAUUAUUUCGAGCUCACAUUAUGGGGUUCGAUGUGAACCGAUUCCAGGGCGAAGUUGACGAAGAACUUGUUUGUCCAAUAUGUUCUGGAGUUCUGGAAGAUCCAGUCCAGGUGAGCAAUAUGUUACAGGCACCUGUAUGCGAACAUGCCUUUUGUCGUACGUGCAUUAACGAAUGGAUAAACAGACAACCUACAUGCCCCUUGGAUCGUACACCAAUUACAUCCGCUCAACUGAGAGCAGUUCCAAGAAUCCUUCGAAAUUUAUUGGCUCGUCUGUGCAUUAGUUGUGAUAAUAUUAUGUAUGGAUGUCAAGUAGUCGUCAAGCUUGACAGUUUAGUAUCACAUCUGGAGCAAUGUGAAUAUAACCCUAAGAGACCAAUGCUUUGUGAACAAGGAUGUAGUCUUAUUAUUCCCAAAAAUGAGCUGAAAGAUCAUAAUUGUGUAAGAGAACUUAGGAAUAUCAUACAUUCGCAGCAACAAAAACUUGCUGACAUGAAGCGUGAGCUGGGUGAACAGCAACUUCAAAUAAACGAACAUAAAAGAGAGAUACAUCUUCUAAAAGAUUUUAUGAGAGCUUUAAGAGUUUCAAAUCCUGCCAUGCGAGCUAUCGCCGAUCAAAUGGAAAGAGACGAAGUUGUAAGAUGGUCUGCUACUCUUCCACGAGCGAGAGUGACCAGGUGGGGAGGAAUGAUUUCCACGCCUGAUGAAUUAUUACAGACAAUGAUAAAGAGAACUUUGUCAGAAUAUAAUUGUCCACCUCAUGUAAUCGACGAAUUAAUGGAAAAUUGUCACGAAAGAAAAUGGCCUCCUGGUUUAAAUUCGCUUGAAACAAGACAGAAUUCUAGACGUCAGUAUGACAAUUAUGUUUGCAAAAGAGUUCCUGGAAAGCAAGCAGUGUUAGUCCUUUAUUGCGAUAAUACACACAUGCCAGAAGACAUGAUGGUUGAACCUGGAUUAGUGAUGAUUUUUGCACAUGGCAUAGAAUAAAAUUUAAUACCAAUGUUCUGUGCAUGCCAAGAUAUUUUAAAAUUCAUUUAUUUUGUUGUUUGUUAUAUUCACCAUGAUUAAUAUUCAAGGUGUAUGAAAUAUCUUUGUACUUAUGCGCAGAUACUGGAAUAUUUGCAUAAUGUAUCUUGCAGUUGUUAAUGCAGGAUAUUUUUUCAAAAGUAUUGAAAGGAACAAAUGACAUGCCUUUUGUGAUAAACAAUUGUACAGACACAAUUGCCACAAACAAAAAAUCUAAUUGAAUGUCUGGAUCUUUACACUGUGAUAUACUAUUUCAUUGAGAAAGUUCCUGAAAUGCAUGAUAAAUAGAAAGUUUUUACAUAUAUAGAAGUCUGUAAGUGUUUUAUUAUAGUGCUUUAGACAAGUAAGAAACAAAAAAUAUGGAAAUUAUCAAUAUGGUAAUUGCUGCUACUAAGAUUUAAAUGUGUUCUGGAAGAGGAGCAUCGAAUGUUAGAAAGAGGAAUAAUUUCUUUCUGUCUCAACGUUAUUUAUAUGAUUUUAAUAAAAACAUUUAAAAAUGCA